rnacentral:rRNA from 1 species
GAUGAACGCUAGCGGCAGGCCUAAUACAUGCAAGUCGAACGGAUAUAUGUUUUUUCGGAAUAUAUAUUAGUGGCGCACGGGUGAGUAACACGUACAUAACUUGCCCUCAAGCGGGGGAUAGCCUUGGGAAACUGAGAGUAAUACCCCAUAGAAUUAUUGGACGGCAUCGUUUGAUAAUUAAAACUACGGUGCUUGGGGAUAGAUGUGCGUCUGAUUAGCUAGUUGGUGAGGUAACUGCUCACCAAGGCGACGAUCAGUAGGGGGCGUGAGAGCGUGGCCCCCCACACGGGUACUGAGACACGGACCCGACUCCUACGGGAGGCAGCAGUAAGGAAUAUUGGUCAAUGGAGGGAACUCUGAACCAGCCAUGCCGCGUGAAGGAUGACGGCCCUCUGGGUUGUAAACUUACUUUUGGUAUGGGGCGAAAAAACGGGAGUUUAAUCUGGACUGACGGUACCGAUCAGAAUAAGACACCGG